UAGACCCGAAACCAGGUGAUCUACCCAUGUCCAGGGUGAAGUUCAGGUAACACUGAAUGGAGGCCCGAACCCACGCACGUUGAAAAGUGCGGGGAUGAGGUGUGGGUAGCGGAGAAAUUCCAAUCGAACCUGGAGAUAGCUGGUUCUCCCCGAAAUAGCUUUAGGGCUAGCCUUAAGUGUAAGAGUCUUGGAGGUAGAGCACUGAUUGGACUAGGGGUCCUCAUCGGAUUACCGAAUUCAGUCAAACUCCGAAUGCCAAUGACUUAUCCUUAGGAGUCAGACUGCGAGUGAUAAGAUCCGUAGUCAAAAGGGAAACAGCCCAGACCGCCAGCUAAGGUCCCAAAGUGUGUAUUAAGUGGAAAAGGAUGUGGAGUUGCUUAGACAACUAGGAUGUUGGCUUAGAAGCAGCCACCAUUUAAAGAGUGCGUAAUAGCUCACUAGUCGAGUGACUCUGCGCCGAAAAUGUACCGGGGCUAAAUACACCACCGAAGCUGCGGAUUGAUACCGAAUGGUAUCAGUGGUAGGGGAGCGUUCUAAGGACAGUGAAGUCAGACCGUAAGGACUGGUGGAGUGCUUAGAAGUGAGAAUGCCGGUAUGAGUAGCGAAAGACGGGUGAGAAUCCCGUCCACCGAAUGCCUAAGGUUUCCUGAGGAAGGCUCGUCCGCUCAGGGUUAGUCAGGACCUAAGCCGAGGCCGACAGGCGUAGGCGAUGGACAACAGGUUGAUAUUCCUGUACCACCUCUUUAUCGUUUGAGCAAUGGAGGGACGCAGAAGGAUAGAAGAAGCGUGCGAUUGGUUGUGCACGUCCAAGCAGUUAGGCUGAUAAGUAGGCAAAUCCGCUUAUCGUGAAGGCUGAGCUGUGAUGGGGAAGCUCCUUAUGGAGCGAAGUCUUUGAUUCCCCGCUGCCAAGAAAAGCUUCUAGCGAGAUAAAAGGUGCCUGUACCGCAAACCGACACAGGUAGGCGAGGAGAGAAUCCUAAGGUGUGCGAGAGAACUCUGGUUAAGGAACUCGGCAAAAUGACCCCGUAACUUCGGGAGAAGGGGUGCUUUCUUAACGGAAAGCCGCAGUGAAUAGGCCCAAGCGACUGUUUAGCAAAAACACAGCUCUCUGCGAAGCCGUAAGGCGAAGUAUAGGGGGUGACACCUGCCCGGUGCUGGAAGGUUAAGGAGAGGGGUUAGCGUAAGCGAAGCUCUGAACUGAAGCCCCAGUAAACGGCGGCCGUAACUAUAACGGUCCUAAGGUAGCGAAAUUCCUUGUCGGGUAAGUUCCGACCCGCACGAAAGGUGUAACGAUUUGGGCACUGUCUCAACCAGAGACUCGGUGAAAUUAUAGUACCUGUGAAGAUGCAGGUUACCCGCGACAGGACGGAAAGACCCCGUGGAGCUUUACUGUAGCCUGAUAUUGAAUUUUGGUACAGUUUGUACAGGAUAGGCGGGAGCCAUUGAAACCGGAGCGCUAGCUUCGGUGGAGGCGCUGGUGGGAUACCGCCCUGACUGUAUUGAAAUUCUAACCUACGGGUCUUAUCGACCCGGGAGACAGUGUCAGGUGGGCAGUUUGACUGGGGCGGUCGCCUCCUAAAGUGUAACGGAGGCGCCCAAAGGUUCCCUCAGAAUGGUUGGAAAUCAUUCGUAGAGUGCAAAGGCAUAAGGGAGCUUGACUGCGAGACCUACAAGUCGAGCAGGGACGAAAGUCGGGCUUAGUGAUCCGGUGGUUCCGCAUGGAAGGGCCAUCGCUCAACGGAUAAAAGCUACCCCGGGGAUAACAGGCUUAUCUCCCCCAAGAGUCCACAUCGACGGGGAGGUUUGGCACCUCGAUGUCGGCUCAUCGCAUCCUGGGGCUGUAGUCGGUCCCAAGGGUUGGGCUGUUCGCCCAUUAAAGCGGUACGCGAGCUGGGUUCAGAACGUCGUGAGACAGUUCGGUCCCUAUCCGUCGUGGGCGUAGGAAAUUUGAGAGGAGCUGUCCUUAGUACGAGAGGACCGGGAUGGACGCACCGCUGGUGUACCAGUUGUUCUGCCAAGGGCAUAGCUGGGUAGCUAUGUGCGGAAGGGAUAAGUGCUGAAAGCAUCUAAGCAUGAAGCCCCCCUCAAGAUGAGAUUUCCCAUAGCGUAAGCUAGUAAGAUCCCUGAAAGAUGAUCAGGUUGAUAGGUUCGAGGUGGAAGCAUGGUGACAUGUGGAGCUGACGAAUACUAAUAGAUCGAGGACUUAACCAU
rnacentral:rRNA from 1 species